GCCAAGAGAAACAUGUACACCUUCAAGGCCUGUAAGUGGGGCCUGAGAGGUGGUGGGCCUUGGGGAGAGCGCCUCCCUGGGGGGGUCCAUGUGCCAUCCCUCACCUGCUGACCUGCCUUUCCUCCUCCUUUCCUCUCUUCCUUCCAGGGCUGAUGAACCUCCUUGCCGACCGUGACCCUGAAGUCAGGCGAGUUGGCAGGGAGAACAAAGCCAUCCUUGCCAGGGCCUCUGCCCUCCACUCCUGACAUGGGCUGCGGGCUGCUCUUCGGCACUUGGUGGCGCCCUGCAGGCGGUACUCCCCAGAAUACACCAAGGAACCACCUGCCUGAUGGACUGCACUUUCCAUGGAUUCCUUUGGAGAGGAAGACCCAAACCGCCAGGACCUGCUUAUCAGGCCCCAUCGAC
rnacentral:lncRNA from 11 species